CGGAGUCGUCCAGUAUUCUUGAGUUCAAAAGAUUUGAGAGCUGAGAGGUGACCACGACUUCGACAAAUCUACAGGCACUAAAUUUCUAACUUUAAAAAGAAGAAAUCGAAAGUGUCACCUAGUUACUGACGAAAGGUGUCUACAUAGUUAUGGGUCGUCCAUAGCCACUGAAGCUCGAAAGGCCGAUGUGAUUUCACCUAAAAGCUUAUAGAGGGUCGAACCUCGAAUCAGUCCGGCAGGGUUGAAUAAGCGGAUUAAGUGGAGAGUAGUUAGUAACUCAAGUAGUGAUUGGUCUAACCAAUUGACACUGACAGAAUACUUCUCAAAAGGAAGUGGAUAAGAAGGGAAACCAUAAUCUAACAAAAGUUCUGUCUUUAUAAGGUGUAAUCUCAGCCU
rnacentral:sRNA from 10 species